UCCACGGCCCUCCCACUGCCGACUGCGAUCACGUACCCAACCCAGUGCUGCCCAGUCACACACUGAAAGGCCCCACCAACAGGUUCCUGCUGGUGGCUGCUGCUACCUGUCCAUAGGAAGACCAUCACAAACCCUGGCUCUGCUCAAGCCUCUGAGUUUCUACUGAACACAGCCCCAUCCCUGCACUGUCCCCCUUUCCCAACCCAACAUGUUCAAGAAUAUACUUUUCUUCUCAAAUUCUUCUUUUCUUGAACCAGCUCAGUUGGCAGGAGAGGGGAGCUAGUCCCAGGGCAGCAGCUCCUCUGAAGGUGGCCUUUGGCUGUGCUGCAAUUCUUACUCCUAAAACACUGAUUUCAAAUGGUGCUAGAUACAAAGAUGGAAAAAUCUAAGCCACCAUGUGAAACCAGCUUCCAGAAGAAGAGGAUCUCACUGAAGAAAGGAGGGAGAUGCGAUCAGAAGACCCAGCCUUUGCCUGAGCAAAAAGAUGUCUUACUGCAGUUAUACUUGCCACGGGACAUAAGGGUCCCUUCAAAAGGCACAGAGAAGAGUUACAAAGUGAUGCUCAAAGAACAUGAAAGUCAAAGCUGGAAACAAGCACCCUUUCUGCCUGGGAGGCGCUGACGACUACACACAGGUGGGUUUCACCUGGACCAGGGCGACUCGCCCACAGACCCUGGUGAGGAAGACCACGGGCUCGCCCUUCCCCAUCACAGAUGAGCGGUCAGGACGUUCAAGUAUGACCCCGUUCCCUACCAACUCUUCAAGACUCCAGA
ensembl:lncRNA